GUGAUCCGGCGUUGUGGUGUACUGAUGCGAGUGCUGUUACAGCUGUUAUGGCCUGCAGCGCAACAGUUUAGCCGGUGGUUAAUAUCCCUAAACCUGCAGCAUCCUGUAUGCACGCGACACUGCUCUCGGUCCGUGUGAGCGAAUCGUUGCUGUGCGGGCUGUCUCGAUCUGGCCUUUGGCUGGUUAUGUGUGUGCGCUGUGGAACCGUGGGGGUGAUCUGCUGCACUGCUGCCUCAGCGGGGGUUUGAACGGCGGCUUGGUCUGUUUUUUUU